CGGGCAGCGGCACGCGAUCGCUGGCAGCACCCACUUCCGGGGGAGAGGAGGCCGGAGGGGGCGGGGCGGCGCGGCGUCCGCUCUAGGCGCUCCUCUCGAUGGUUUCAAAGCACAUGUGACUUAUUCUCAACACAUUCCCGAAAUCAGCAGCAACUUCUGAAAGGCCACGUCUUCUCUGCACACCAGUUCAACAGGGUCACAGCCGUUGUCCCAAAAGUUCCAUUGUAGGGGUUCAAAUCCAUCUGUCAUUCAUGAAGACGUUUGACACUCUCAGAAACCAUUCCAUCACCUGCCACCAGCUGGACCCAGUGGAUCCUGGUGCCGCCAGAAAUCUGAACUGUGCACUGCUUACUCACUCUGUGCUCCACUCCCAUUACCAAACCCUGCUUUCUGUCCAGCUUAGCCCGUCUACUACUGCAUUGCUGCCCACACAAGUAGCGAGCUUCCUGAAAGCAUACCCACAGCCUCCUCCCCACAAUUCAGGUUCUCAUGUCAUCCUCUUUGUCCAUCCAGGUCAGGCGAGUUGUAUGUCCACAGUAAGUUACUUAGUGCUGGUCCAUAGAUCUCACUAGGACAGUCCUGUCUUGCCAUGGCUCUUGAUGGUGCUGGUGACUGCUAGUAAAAUCUAAUAUCACUGAUAGCCAAGUGAUGUAACCUUCUGUUUACCCAGAGUAGCUAAGGAAUGGGGCGUUCUAAUACACUGGGUAAUUUGCUUAGCUGUAGACUACCAGUUUUGUAAGAAAAAUAAACUAAUUUGAAAGAACCAUAAACUAACACAAUAGCACAUUACUUGCCUAUCCUAAUUUCAACUAGCAUUGUAAUUAUUUAUGUGUAUGCCCCACCUCUCCUUCCAGAACACAGGCUUCUUAAGGGAUGGUCUAUAUAAAUCUCAUCUUUAUUUCCUUAUAGUACCUGGUGAAUUGCUCUAUAUAUUGUAGGUACUAAAAAAGUUUUUAUUAAAUUAGUGAAACUAUAGAAUACAAACUAAUUUACCAACAUGACUUUAUCCGUCUUUGAUGACUCAAAAGGCCCUCCAGGAUCACACAUUUCUUCAGAUUCAUGAUUAUGUGCGAUGUCUCUGAGGAUGCACUGCAGUCCAAGUGGCUGAAAGGGGAAUUCUACAAUGACUGGAAGUUAGGACUUGUUAACUACUGGUUCAUUCCAGUUAGAGGUCUGUGUGCAUGUGUUUAAAAGUCAAAUAUUG